rnacentral:misc_RNA from 1 species
AAUCCUCUGCAAAUUAAGCUUAAAAUGUUACUACUAGUCCACCAUAUAAAUUAAAGAGUUAUUGUUUUAAAGAAAAAACAUGUGGCAAAUGAUAGACAAAUAUGGAUAAUAUACCACCCAUCCUGUAGCCUAGACCGGGCCAAGGGCAUGUUCAAGCCCUGAACCAGACUGGGACAGGCCUGGAUCAGACUGGGACAGGCCUGGAUCAAUGGUUCAAAGGCCUGAACCCUAUAUAGUGGGCCAGUUUUAGUCCCUCCAAACACUGAACCAGGUCCAACGGUCCAAUUCCAGUUUGAACCUCUUUUUUUUAAAAAAAAGACAUGGAAGACGUAGGAGUGCACAAUGUAGAUCAAACUGCCUAAAAACCGGAACCGGAAUCACCAUUGAACCGAACCGGAACGAGCCGGUAACAGGCUGUAACCGCCUAGGACCGGUCUGGUUUCGGUCCAUUCCCUUUCUCAGCCCUAAGUCGCCAGUUCCAACCUAGCCGGACCAGUUCCUAGGUCUACUGUAUCCCUUCAUCAACAAGAACAAGUAAAGAAAUAACAAAUGCACAUUCUUAAAUUACCUGGACAAAAAUAUGAUGGCAUGUAUACAUAAAAGCCAUGACUCUCAACUCAUCUUUAACUGAGACACAUAUGCACAUGCACAGGCUCAUUUAUACGUUACACGUGUGUUAGAAACAAAUCCAUUAAUAUUUCAAAGAAUCAGACCACAAAAAUCCUACUACAUGCGUCACAAUAUCAGUGCAACACUUACACG